UGCCAGCCGCCGCGGUAAUACGGAGGUUCCAAGCGUUGUUCGGAAUUACUGGGCGUAAAGGGAGCGCAGGCGGAUAGGUCAGUUCAAAGUGGAAUCCCAGGGCUCAACCCUGGAAGUGCUUUGGAUACUGCCUGUCUUGAGUUCGUGAGAGGAAAGUGGAAUUCAGGGUGUAGCGGUGAAAUGCGUAGAUAUCACGAGGAACACCAGAGGCGUAGGCGGGCGACUGGACGAGUACUGACGCUGAGGCACGAAAGCGUGGGGAGCAAACAGGAUUAGAUA
rnacentral:rRNA from 1 species